rnacentral:ncRNA from 1 species
AGAGUCCUACGAGAAAGGAGUAGCGAACCGCUCGGCCCCGAGUUUUGCGUUGCACACCGCGAGGUGUCGGCGAAGCGUAAACAGGGGUACAGGUGGGCUGGGUAUUGAGCUCCGAAAAGAUGCAAUCAGGACGCUGACGCUUUUGACUUGGCGGAAGGCAACAUGGGCGGGAGCGAUAUCGCAAGUUCCUGCUCGGUCCUGCGUAGUCGUAGACCC